GGGGGGCUGGCGCAACGGUAGCGCGUUAGAUUCCAGCGGCUUGUUUUCAAGUGAGGCAAUCGUGACUCCUAAAGGUUAUCAGUUCAAAUCUGGUGUCCCUCA